rnacentral:rRNA from 1 species
AUGCGUGACAUUAGCUAGUUGGUAGGGUAACGGCCUACCAAGGCUACGAUGUCUAGGGGUUCUGAGAGGAAGAUCCCCCACACUGGUACUGAGACACGGACCAGACUCCUACGGGAGGCAGCAGUGAGGAAUAUUGGUCAAUGGGCGAGAGCCUGAACCAGCCAUCCCGCGUGCAGGAAGAAUGCCCUAUGGGUUGUAAACUGCUUUUUCGCAUGAAGAACACCCCUGACGUGUCAGGGGCUGACGGUAAUGCGUGAAUAAGCACCGGCUAACUCCGUGCCAGCAGCCGCGGUAAUACGGAGGGUGCAAGCGUUAUCCGGAUUUAUUGGGUUUAAAGGGUGCGUAGGCGGCUUUUUAAGUCAGUGGUGAAAUCCUGCAGCUCAACUGUAGAACAGCCAUUGAAACUGAAGAGCUUGAGUAAUCUUGAGGUAGGCGGAAUGUGUAGUGUAGCGGUGAAAUGCUUAGAUAUUACACAGAACACCGAUUGCGAAGGCAGCUUACUAAGGAUUUACUGACGCUGAUGCACGAAAGCGUGGGGAUCAAACAGGAUUAGAUACCCUGGUAGUCCACGCCGUAAACGAUGAUAACUCGCUGUUGGCGAUACACAGUCAGCGGCUUAGCGAAAGCG